rnacentral:rRNA from 1 species
CCUACGGGUGGCAGCAGUGGGGAAUUUUCCACAAUGGACGAAAGUCUGAUGGAGCAACGCCGCGUGAGUGCAGAAGGGUUUCGGCUCUUAAAGCUCUGUUGGUAGUGAAGAAAGAUAGAGGUAGUAACUGUCCUUUAUUUUACGGUAAUUACUUAGAUAGUCACGGCUAACUACGUGCCAGCAGCCGCGUUAAUACGUAGGUGGCAAGCGUUGUCCGGAUUUAUUGGGCGUAAAGCGAGUUAAGACGGUUCAAUAAGUCUGAUGUGAAAGCCUUCGGCUCAACCGGAGAAUUGCAUCAGAAACUGUUGAACUUGAGUGCAGAAGAGGAGAGUGGAAUUCCAUGUGUAGCGGUGGAAUGCGUAGAUAUAUGGAAGAACACCAGUGGCGAAGGCGGCUCUCUGGGCUGCAACUGACGCUGAGGCUCGAAAGCAUGGGUAGCGAACAGGAUUAGAUACCCUAGUAGUC